rnacentral:rRNA from 1 species
AUUGAACGCUGGCGGCAGGCUUAACACACGCAAGUCGAGCGGGGGAAGGUAGCUUGCUACCGGACCUAGCGGCGGACGGGUGAGUAAUGCUUAGGAAUCUGCCUAUUAGUGGGGGACAACAUCUCGAAAGGGAUGCUAAUACCGCAUACGUCCUACGGGAGAAAGCAGGGGAUCUUCGGACCUUGCGCUAAUAGAUGAGCCUAAGUCGGAUUAGCUAGUUGGUGGGGUAAAGGCCUGCCAAGGCGACGAUCUGUAGCGGGUCUGAGAGGAUGAUCCGCCACACUGGGACUGAGACACGGCCCAGACUCCUACGGGAGGCAGCAGUGGGGAAUAUUGGACAAUGGGGGGAACCCUGAUCCAGCCAUGCCGCGUGUGUGAAGAAGGCCUUAUGGUUGUAAAGCACUUUAAGCGAGGAGGAGGCUACUCUAGUUAAUACCUAGGGAUAGUGGACGUUACUCGCAGAAUAAGCACCGGCUAACUCUGUGCCAGCCGCCGCAGUAA